UCCCACUUCUCAAGGUGAUUGCCAUAACAUGUUUUUUUAAAUUGGUCUCAAUGUUACUCAACAAGGUACCUUGAGCUCUCCCAUUGAUCAUGCUUGCCAAUUGUCCCAUUUGGAUUUUUCAAGUUUUUUUUAUCAAUGUUUGCUUGUUUUGCCACAUUAAUUAUUGAUUCUGAAUGGCUGCUUUAAUCUUUGUUGGAAAAUCUAUUGUGUUCUUAUGAAUGGCUACAAUCAUAUCUUCAAGUGAGGGCUUUUUUUCUUGUGGCUAAGAUCCUUGGGGAGGCCCGACCACAUUCUAUUGAUUCCUCCAUGAAAAAUUUGGAUGAUUUCUCAUCCCAGGAUUAAAUGUAUUGGAAUAUGGAUUGUAUGGUGGUCUGUCUUACCUAGCUAUAAAACUCACUUGUUCUACCUCAUGUCGU
rnacentral:lncRNA from 1 species